rnacentral:rRNA from 1 species
AUUGAACGCUGGCGGCAGGCCUAACACAUGCAAGUCGAACGAGUGGCGGACGGGUGAGUAAUGUCUGGGAAACCGCCUGAUGGAGGGGGAUAACUACUGGAAACGGUAGCUAAUACCGCAUACCAUCAGAUUUGCCCAGAUGGGAUUAGCUUGUUGGUGGGGUAACGGCUCACCAAGGCGACGAUCCCUAGCUGGUCUGAGAGGAUGACCAGCCAAACUGGAACUGAGACACGGUCCAGACUCCUAGGGGAGGCAGCAGGGGGGAAUAUUACACAAGGGGGGCAAGCCGGAGGCAGACAUGCCGGGUGUAUGAAGAAGGCCUUCGGGUUGUAAAGUACUUUCAGCGGGGAGGCGUUACCCGCAGAAGAAGCACCGGCUAACUCCGUGCCAGCAGCCGCGGUAAUAC